GGUCAAGCGAAUAAGCGCACACGGCGGAUGCCUUGGCGGUCAGAGGCGAUGAAGGACGUGGCAGCCUGCGAAACGUAUCGGGGAGCUGGCAACAAGCUUUGAUCCGGUAAUGUCCGAAUGGGGAAACCCACCCGCUUGCGGGUAUCCUGCAGUGAAUACAUAGCUGCUGGAAGCGAACCUGGUGAACUGAAAUAUCUAAGUAACCAGAGGAAAAGAAAUCAACCGAGAUUCCCUGAGUAGCGACGAGCGAACGGGGACUAGCCCUUAAGCUGGAAUGGUUCUAGAAAAACAGCCUGGAACGGCUGGCCAUAGAAGGUGAUAGCCCUGUAUUUAAAAGGGCCACUCCAGUGAAGACGAGUAGGGCGGGGCACGUGAAACCCUGUCUGAACAUGGGGGGACCAUCCUCCAAGGCUAAAUACUACUGACC
rnacentral:rRNA from 1 species